GACGAACGCUGGCGGCGUGCUUAACACAUGCAAGUCGAACGGAAAGGCCCUGCUUUUGUGGGGUGCUCGAGUGGCGAACGGGUGAGUAACACGUGAGUAACCUGCCCUUGACUUUGGGAUAACUUCAGGAAACUGCGGCUAAUACCGGAUAGGAGCUCCUGCUGCAUGUUGGGGGUUGGAAAGUUUCGGCGGUUGGGGAUGGACUCGCGGCUUAUCAGCUUGUUGGUGGGGUAGGGGCUGACCAAGGCUUUGACGGGUAGCCGGCCUGAGAGGGUGACCGGCCAUAUUGGGACUGAGGUACGGCGCAGACUCCUACGGGAGGCAGCAGUGGGGAAUAUUGCACAAUAGGCGGAAGCCUGAUGCAGCAGCGCCGCGUGCGGGAUGCCGGCCUUCGGGUUGUGAACCGCUUUCGCCUGUGACAAAGCGUGAGUGACGGUAAUGGGUAAAGAAGCACCGGCUAACUACGUG
rnacentral:rRNA from 1 species